CAGUCGUUGACGGGCUUGAAAUCUUGCUCUCCCGUGAUUAUUUCGUAAAGGGUGAGCAAAGUUUCAGGUGUGUCAAAGGCUU